rnacentral:rRNA from 1 species
GUGCCAGCAGCCGCGGUAAAACGUAGGUACCGAGCGUUAUCCGGAUUUACUGGGCGUAAAGCGCGUUCAGGCGGCUUGACAAGUCGGGCAUGAAAUCUCUCGGCUCAACCGGGAGGGGCUGUCCGAUACUGUCGGGCUUGAGGGCAGUAGAGGGUGGUGGAAUUCCGGGUGUAGUGGUGAAAUGCGUAGAUAUCCGGAGGAACACCAGUGGCGAAAGCGGCCACCUGGACUGUACCUGACGCUCAAACGCGAAAGCUAGGGGAGCGAACGGGAUUAGAUACCCCUGUAGUCC